UACAGGGGGUGCAACCGUUGCUCGGAAUCAUUGGGCGUAAAGCGCACGUAGGCGGUUCGUUAUGUCGGAUGUGAAAGCCCUUGGCUUAACCGAGGAAGUGCAUCCGAAACUGGCGAGCUAGAGUACUAAAGAGGAUCGCGGAAUUCCCGGUGUAGAGGUGAAAUUCGUAGAUAUCGGGAGGAACACCGGUGGCGAAGGCGGCGAUCUGGGUAGAUACUGACGCUGAGGUGCGAAAGCGUGGGGAGCAAGCAGG
rnacentral:rRNA from 1 species